rnacentral:rRNA from 1 species
GUCCUUUAGAAUAGAAUUUAAGGUUUAACCUGCCCACUGAUGAAUUUAAUGGCCGCAGUAUUUUGACUGUGCAAAGGUAGCAUAAUCAUUAGUUUUUUAAUUGAAAGCUUGUAUGAAUGGUUGGACGAGAUAUGAACUGUCUUUAAAAUAAAAAUAGAAUUUAAUUUUUAAGUUAAAAAGCUUAAAUAUAAAUAAAAGACGAGAAGACCCUAUAAAUCUUUAUAAAUUUAUUUAUUAUAAUUUUUUAGGAUUAUAAAUUUUUAUAAAAUUAAGUUUAUUUUAUUGGGGUAAUAAAAAGAUUAAAUUAAUUCUUUUAUAUUUUUUACAUUGAUUAUUGGUUUUAAUGAUCCUAUAAUAUAGAUUUUAAGAUUAAGUUACUUUAGGGAUAACAGCGUAAUUUUUUUAAAGAGUUCUUAUCGAUAAAAAAGUUUGCGACCUCGAUGUUGGAUUAAAAUUAAUUUUAGGUGAAGAAGUUUAAAUUUUUAGUCUGUUCGACUAUUAAAAUUUU